rnacentral:rRNA from 1 species
GGCAUUUGGGCCGCCUGGCCUUAUACAUUGCAAGUCGAGCGAAUGGAAUUAAGAGCUUGCUCUUAUGAAGUUAGCGGCGGACGGGUGAGUAACACGUGGGUAACCUGCCCAUAAGACUGGGAUAACUCCGGGAAACCGGGGCUAAUACCGGAUAACAUUUUGAACCGCAUGGUUCGAAAUUGAAAGGCGGCUUCGGCUGUCACUUAUGGAUGGACCCGCGUCGCAUUAGCUAGUUGGUGAGGUAACGGCUCACCAAGGCAACGAUGCGUAGCCGACCUGAGAGGGUGAUCGGCCACACUGGGACUGAGACACGGCCCAGACUCCUACGGGAGGCAGCAGUAGGGAAUCUUCCGCAAUGGACGAAAGUCUGACGGAGCAACGCCGCGUGAGUGAUGAAGGCUUUCGGGUCGUAAAACUCUGUUGUUAGGGAAGAACAAGUGCUAGUUGAAUAAGCUGGCACCUUGACGGUACCUAACCAGAAAGCCACGGCUAACUACGUGCCAGCAGCCGCGGUAAUACGUAGGUGGCAAGCGUUAUCCGGAAUUAUUGGGCGUAAAGCGCGCGCAGGUGGUUUCUUAAGUCUGAUGUGAAAGCCCACGGCUCAACCGUGGAGGGUCAUUGAAAGCUGUGCAUACUCGCGUGCAGGAGAGGAAACCUGUAAAUACCAUGAGCAGCUGGUGAUAUGCGUAGGUGAUAUGGCGGGACUAUCAGUUGCGGAUGGCGACCCUCAUGGUUUGGAACUGACAGUGAGGUUCCAAACCGUGGGGAUCCAACCGGAAUAGGAUCCUUGCUAGUACCACGCCCGUAACCAUGAGUACUAAAUGGUAGACGGUUUUCGCCCUUGCGCUCUGGUGUCUACGCAUUAAGCACCCGCCUGGGGAGUUCGGGCGGCAGGCACAAAAUCAAAAGAAAUGAACGGGGGCCGGACCAACGGUUGAGCAUUGUGGUUAAUUUGAAGCAACCGGAAGAACCUUUCCCGGUUUUGACCUUCUUUGGCAACCCUUGAGAUUGGGGUUCUCCUUUGGGAGCAGAAUUACCAGUUGGGCCUUGUUGUUGUCAACCAACGUUGUUAGAAGUUGGGUUAAGUUCCGCCACGAACGCAACCCUUUUUUUUAGUUGCCCUCCUUAAAUUGGGCAAUUUAAGGUGGCUGCCGGUGGCAAAACUGAGGAAGGUGGGGAAGACCUCAAAUCCUCAAUCCCCUUUUGACCUGGGCUACCCACCUUGUCCAAUGGGAGGUACAAAGAACCGCAAGACCGGGAGGGGGGGGUUAUUUUCUAAAACCGUUUUCCGUUUGGAUUGUAGGGUUCAAAUUGCCUACAUGAAACUGGAAUUGCUAGUAAUUCCGGAUCAUCCUGCCGCGGUGAAUACGUUUCCGGGCCUUUUACACCCCCCCCCUCACCCCCCCGGAGUUUAUUACACCCGAACGCG